CCGCGGUGAAUACGUUCCCGGGCCUUGUACACACCGCCCGUCACACCAUGAGAGCCGGUAAUACCCGAAGUCAGUAUCCUAACCGCAAGGGGGGGAGCUGCCGAAGGUAGGAUUGGCGAUUGGGGUGAAGUCGUAACAAGGUACC
rnacentral:rRNA from 1 species